rnacentral:sRNA from 1 species
CAAGUCAGAUGCACCAGACACUCUCUUAUUGGAGAAACAUGCAGAUUAUAUCGCAUCCUAUGGCUCAAAAAAAGAUGAUUAUGAAUACUGUAUGUCUGAGUAUUUGAGAAUGAGUGGCAUCUAUUGGGGUCUAACAGUAAUGGAUCUCAUGGGACAACUUCAUCGCAUGAAUAGAGAAGAGAUUCUGGCAUUUAUUAAGUCUUGCCAACAUGAAUGUGGUGGAAUAAGUGCUAGUAUCGGACAUGAUCCUCAUCUUUUAUACACUCUUAGUGCUGUCCAGGUCCCACUAAGCAGCUGGUCUAACUGGAGUUAAUGGUCUGCUGGAACUUCCAGCAUGCACUGUGGUAGUUAUAUCAGCAUACAGGAGCACUGGAACAGAGGGGGCCAGUCUAAAAGAUAAGGGAUGAACACAGUGCAGGCCAGAGAGACCAGCUGCUUCAUGGGAUGUGAAAAUUCUACUUUUAUAAAGUAGGGAGAAAUUGACACAAGAUUCUCUUUUUGUGCGGUGGCAACUUUGGCUUUGUUGGGGAAGCUUGAUGCUAUUAAUGUGGAAAAGGCAAUCGAAUUUGUUUUAUCCUGUAUGA